GUGACUUAGUGGUAGAGCACCUGCCUAGCAUGCGAGAGGCCCUGGGUUCCAUUCUCAACACUGCCAAAAAAAAAAAAAAUCCUAAUGGAUUAAAUUUACAUACAUACACGCACAGAAUACCGCUCUGAAGUUCCUAUCUCGAUAUGUAUUUGUGUGUAUGCAUAUACUUCUGCUCCACUUGCGCCUUGAGUUUUUGUUUAGUACCCCUUGGUAGUGAGAUGUCUGCUCUGUGUUUUUCCAAGGACAGCCACUUCCGAGCCAGAAGGAGGCCGACCCACAUUCCUGCGCUGGAAGGGUGGUGGCCUGAUUCAGAUCAACGGGGUUUACUUUCUGAUUUCACCUCGCUUGCACUUGAGUGACAAGUUCUGGGAGAAAAGUUGGCACAGUGCACCGAGGUCCAUGAUAGGGAGCUGUGGGGGACAGACAGCAAGCCGUCUGAAUGGGGUGGAGUGUCCCCACUUAAUCAUUACCACUGCUGACAUUAGUGAAAAAGAAGCAAGGCAUAGCGUCUGCAUGGGACCUACAAUGAGUGGAAAGGAGGCCAGAUUCUUAGGAAGUGGGAGGUAGAGAGGGGCAGAUGUCGGGGAGAAGCCUGUGUGAUAUUGCAGGUUCAGUGUGCACUUUUUUUUUUUUUAAGUGGAGGAAGAAUCCAAACUGCCCUGGCUAUUUCAAAAUCCUAAUAUCAGGGAGGAGCAGGUGUUUUUCAGCCUUCCUGUGUGAGCCCAGGACACAGGGCAGCUUUGAGAACAAACACAUCCUUUCUCAAAAUAGGAGGCCAACUAUUUACUUAUGCAAGCGAUGCUAUGAGAAGGCAUUAUAGAUUGAGUCACAGCUGUUGAGCUUUGGACUGACCACCAAAAGGCUCCUUCCCAGGGAGGAAAAAUCCUGAGGCUCUCAGUGGACCUGAGAGCACUGGCUCAAAUAACAAGUCAAGGGAAGAGCUGCCUCUGCCUACCUGUUGAAGCUGCCCAGGCACACCCCAAGACAGCUUGCAAACACAGACGACAAGAAGGGACAUCAAAACCUGCUUUUAAAAAUUAUGCUGUGACCUGUUCAAAGUUGGAUAAGCAGAAUUAGAGCAUGAAUGGAAUCACAAAUAAAAACAUCAUUUGUUCAAUCCAUUCAUUCAACAAAUAUUGAGUGGGAUAUGCCGACGUGGCUUGACAGGGCAUGUGUGGUAGGAUUACCCUGCACCUUGAAGGGGCCCGCUUGAAAUUCGAGGUUGCAUUUAAAUUGAGAGCCUCUGGACGGAAGUGCUUAGUCUGUUCUGUAAAAUGAGAUCUGGGCCGGAAACACUGGGACAUGGAGAGUCACCAUAAAUUUGGUUGAAUGAGUGAUGCCAGGUCCCUCCUUCUGCAGAACUUCAAGGGUCCAUGAGUCUUCCUGGGGCAUCCACUGCUGGGUGUUACUUAGGAAAGAGCCCAGCGAGGUCACUGACACUUCAAGGACCCAAAGAGAACAGCUUGCAAGAGGAUCUGCCUCUACUUCACGGUUUCUGAGGUUAAAUUCAGAUCCUGCAGCUAGAAAGGGAUUCCCAAGGAGGCAAAACUCUCCCACUCAGAGCAGUCAACUUUGGUCCUGAG
rnacentral:lncRNA from 1 species